CAUGAAGGGAUGCUGAAUUUUAUCAAAUGCUUUUUGGGCAUCUAUUCAGAAAAUUAUAUGGAUUUUGUUCUUUACUCUAUUGAUGUGCUAUAUAAUAUUUAUUGUUUUGUUUGCAUUUGUUGAAGCAUCCUUGUAUUUCUGGCAUAAAUUCCACUUGAUCAUGGUGUACUAUCUUUUUGAUGUGCUAUUGGAUUUUGUUUGCUCGUAUUUUAUUGAGGAUUUUGUGUUUUAUUCAUCAGAUAUAUUGGCCUUCUUUCUUUUACAAAAACCUAAAGCUAGGUUUUUUUUUUUUUUUGUGUGUUGUUUUCUGCCUUUAGUAUUCAUGUUAUGCUUUCCUGUAUCAUGAGUUAGAAAGAAUUCCCUGUGCUUUAAUUUUAUUAAAUAGUUUGGGAAGAAUUGGUGUUAAUUCUUUUUUAAAGGUUUGGUAGAAUUCAGCAGUGAACUAUUCAGUCCUGGAUUUUCUCUUCUUUCUUUAUUUUAAAAAAAUCUUUUAUUUUAUUUUAAUUUGUUUUUAGAGACAGGGUCUCACUCUGUUGCCUAGGCUGAGUGCAAAUAUUUUCUUACAUUCUGUAGGUUGUCUGUAGUAGUGCAAUCAUAGCUCACUGCAGCCUUGGCCUCCUGGGCUCAAGCAGUUCUCCCAUCUAGGCCUCCCAAGUAGCUGGGACUAAUGGUGUGCAUCACUAUGCCUGGCUAAUUUUUAAAUUUGUGGUAGAGAUGAGAUCUUACAAGUUUGCCCAGGCUGGUCUCAAACUCCCGGUCUCAAGUGAUCUCUUGUCACUGAGAUUACAGGUGUGAGCCAACACACUUGGCCUGUAUGUUGAUCUUGUACCUAGCAAUGUUGCUAAACGCACUUAUUGGGUUUGGUGCCUUAAUUAAGGGUAGAUUCCAUCUGAUUUUCUAAAUAAAUGAUAAUGUCAUCUGUGAAGACAGACAGUUUUACUUUUUCCCAAUUUGGACAACUUCUAUUUCCUUUUCUUAUAUUAUAGCAAUGGUUGGAUCUUUCUGUAAAAUGUUAGAAGUGAUGAGAGUGAACAUUCUUUUUUUAGGUCUUAGGAGGAAACUAUCCUAUUUAAUCUUUCACCGCAAAAUAUGAUGUUAGCUUUAGGUUUUUGUAAAUGUUCUUUAUCAAAUCAAGAAGUUCCCUUCUAUGCCUAGUUUGCUGAGAAUUAUUUUGGGAUUGAUUUUGGAAUAGUCAAAUGCUUUUUCCAUGUUUAGUUAGAUGAUCAUAUGUACUUCUUUUUGGGCUUGUUGAUAUAGUGAUUUGAUUAAGUUAAACAUGAAAUCUUACUUUGUCAUGAUGUAUUAUCAUUUUUAUACAUUGUUGGAUUUAAUUUGCUAAAGGUUUUGCAUUUAAAUUCAUGAGGGAUAUUGGCAUAUAUUCUUAGUCAAUUUAUAAGGCUUUUAUAUUGCAGCACUGUUUUCAAUAGCAAAGACCUGGAACCAACCCAAAUGCCCAUCGAUAAUAGACUGGACAGGGAAAAUGUGGCACAUAUACACCAUGGAAUAUUAUGUAGCCAUCAAAAAUGAUGAAUUUGUGUCCCUUAUAGGGACAUGGAUGAACCUGGAAACCAUCAUUCUCAGCAAACUGACACAAGAACAGAAAAUCAACACUGCAUAUUCUCACUCAUAGGUGGAAAGACCAAGAAAGGAUAAAAUGUACCAAAGUUUGUUCAAUCCAGCCAGUCCCCAGCAAAGUCCUGAAAGAAUGAAUUCAUUUUCUGACUUUUUUAGCUACUACUGGCUGCCUGUAUUCCUUGGCUUCCUACAUCUUCAACGUGCAUCACUCCAAUUUUGCUUCCAUCAUCGAAUUGCCUUUUCUGACUCAGAUGCCUCUUCUUAAAGGGAAACUUGUGAUCACACUGAGUGCAUCUGAAUAAUCCAGGGUAAGUUCCCUGUUUCAAGAUCCUUAACUUAGUCAAAUCUCAAAAGUCCCUUUUGCCAUUUAAGGUAAAAUUCACAGGUUCCAGGGAUUAGAACAUUGGGAUCAGGAUCAUUAUGCAGCCUUCUACACAUACAUUAUUUUAUACUCAUAUCAGGAGGAGGUAGGCUGGCUCCACUUUAAGAUGUACAGCUGUAGUCUUCAGAAGUCAAGUGACUCAUUGGCAGUGUUACUAGUUACAGUGCAGAGCUAGUAAGUCUUUAUUUUGCUUUUUGUAAAUUCAGGAAGACUUGAUUGAAAUGUUUGGUUAAUAAUGACAUUUAUUUUGCAAUAGUUUACAGUUUACAAAAGAGCUGGCACCAAAUGAUCUUGUUUUGUUAGGAUAAUCUUAUGAGUUAGAGUUUAUUUAUAAAAUUUAAGCCAUUUUUCCAAUGUCUUUAAUGAGCCUCUACAAUAAGCCAAGCCCUGUGUUAGGUGAUAGGGAUACUCUAGUGACUGAUACAGGCAAGAUCCUAUCAUGAUGUGGUUUAUAUUCUACUAAGGUAGAUGGACAAAACCAUAAUAAAUUGAAUAAUUGCAAAUUGUAAUUAAAUGCUGCAAGAUAACAGAUGAAGAAAUGGAAGACAAGAGUGAUGAAGGGACUCUCACAAUGUCACACAAUAGUAAAUGGAAGAACUAAGUCUUGAAUUUAAAGUUUUGAAAACUUUUGUUUUGUGACUGUAGGGUAUACAUAUGGUAUUCCCUGCAUACUCAGCAAUUUUUUUGUUACUAAUUUUCCCUAGGAUGUAAUAUCAUCUGUUCAGUGAGGACCAUUUUUUUCUCAUGGCUCAUGAUUAUGUUAUAACUUAACACAAUUUUAUCCUCUGUAAGUUCUAAGGUCAGAGGAUAAAAUUUAUGUUAAUAGGCAUCAAUGUACAAUUGUCUCUCCUUAUUUGCAGGUAUUGGUUCCAGGUUCACCUGUGCGUACUAAAAUCAAUGCAUAAUCAAAUCUUAGAGUUGGUCCUGAAACAUCUGAGGAUAGAAAAAGUCAGCUUUUCUUAUAUAGAUAUUUGCAUCCUGAGAAUACUAUAUUUUCAAUCUGGUUUUUGUUUGAGUGUGGUGUGGAGAGCCAACUGUACUUAUUGAAAAAACAUUUGCAUAUAACUGGAUUCAUACAGUUCAAAUCUCUGCUGUUUAAGGAUCAACUGUGGUUGGUUUCCUUGUGACAACUGUCCUGCUAGGGCAUCACGCUCUUGUGUUUAAUACUAAGCAGACUUGGUGAGUGUCAGAGUAAGUCUUUAUUUUUAUUUUUAGAACCAUGCACUCAAUAGUGUCUACCUGUCAAGAAGAUCCACAGCUAAAUUACUAACAUAGUGCUCAUGUAAGCAAAUUUUUAUGAAUUGUGCUUUCAGGAUGAUUUAUUGCAGCUUUAUAGCUUUUGCUGUGACAUAUUUUAUCUACAUUUAAAAUUUUGUUUAAAAUAAUAACAAGCUGGAAUGCAAUUUUAGUAACAGUUGCAUUUGGCCAAUAAGACAAUUUUUAGUAAGUAGUCAGUACGCAUGCAUUCACCUAGUUAUUUUUUAAGUAUUGCUUUCUAAUUGACACAUAAUAAUUGUACAU